UGAAACAGUUUUGAGUCUUCCUUUUGUUUUCAUCUUUUUUGCUUCUUUUUCCAACAACAUUGCUUCAGUGCUAUGAAACUAUUGUGAUCUAAGAUGGAUAUUGAGGUGUGUUCGGGGUCCUGUUCAAUAGUUUUCUUUACACUUUAAUAUUCUUUACAGAGGGUUUGAUGUAAUUGCCUAGAGCUGAACUCACUGAAUUAUUACACCCUGCAACUAACGUGUUCCCUGCAGAUGCUACAAAAGGUUAAAAGGACAGACAGUGGGAUAAAAGGACACAAUAAACUGGUCUGUAUAAUUAUUUUAAAUGAAACUGAUAUAAACAAUAACACACUACAGAUUCCCUACUGUCAUACUUUAUUUAACAGAGAUUAAGCCAAAGUAAAUAAAAAUAAAAACCUGCGUAGACAAACUAAGGACAACCUUGAUGCUUCCAGGAUGUAAAAGGGUAAACAGGCAGUAGGAACUGCUGAAAGACAGCAUCAAUGGCCUCGGAGAAGCUGAUUUUGGAAAACAUUUAGGACUGUUCUGAAUUAUCCCAGGAGUGGAUAUCACAGAAAAUUCAGACCAAUAUCAUGGAAAGUGCCAAAACCCAAGAGCUCAUCUUCGACUCCACAUACAUGCGUUAUAAUUUUUUAUAUUAAAGUUAAAUAGAAACAAAAACUGAACAAGUAAGAUUUUAUGGUUUGAGGGGUUGAGUGAAAAAGCCUUGUCUCACAGAAGAAUUUGACAGCACAACUUGACUUUACAAAUUCACAUCUGAAUGAACUGAAAGACUUCUGGGAAAACAUCCUUUGUACAGGUAGGACAAAGAAGAGAUGUUUGGCCAUGAUGGACAAUGUCAUGCAUGAAGAAAACCAAACACACAGUAUCAGCACAAACAUCUCGAAUGAAUUCUCAUGCAUGGUGAUGGAGGUGUGAUGACAUAGGUUUUUGUAUCACAGUCACCACCUGCGCACCUUAGACUCCUUGAGCCAACCAUGAUCCGUCUGUAUACCAAGACAUUGUUGAAUCAAUUGUGAAGUUAUCUGUCUGAGUUGGUUGUACUCUUACUGUAUUUGAUAGAAGAUAUCCACAGCAGAUUUCACUCUGUACAGAUAUGUUCAUUAGUAAAAACAUGCACUUUGAAAAUGAUUAUCCUAAAGAAGCUUAACUUGUUUUCCAAAAAUCAUCUUAUUGAAAUAUGGCUUUAUCAGAAAUAUUCCAAAAUCUGUAGACCUGCAGCUAACAGGACCUUUAAAUAUCCAUUUUUGUAAUCUCACUGAGCGGCUUUUUCAUUUGUUUGCUCAUGCACCACCUCCUACUUAAUUUGAACUGGACGUUUUUUUCCCAGGAACUUCAUUUAUUUUUGAGUAAAUCAUAUUAAAGGCAACGCAAUAUCUGUGUGGUGACAAACAUGAAUUAACCGAUCAUGUAUACAUUCUGUUCCUAGCAAGAAAAGGUAAACUGAAACACGUUGAGCAUUUGCAGAGAAAAUGUUGGUUAUGAAAUGCUUGUCAUGAUGUUUCAUUCCAGCUAUAUUAAUUUCUCCUUUCUCUGCUCUGCUCAACAGAAUUGAUGUUCAUUGGGUCACAGAGCCAAACAUCUGCCAGGUGUCUUCCAUUUGCAUAAUUACUUGGCUUAACAGAUCCAACUGGUGCCUUUUAAAAGCUCGCCUGCUUUGCUUUUGCUGUAAACACUUCUCACAGCAAAUGCAUUUUCUCUUUACAAAAAACAUCAGUUUGCUGAAUAUUCCUCCCACCUCUCAGACUGACUCCACUGCAGGCCCCUCAGAUCUUCAGGAAAGGGUUUUUGUGAUUGUACCUAGAGUGAGAAAUAAAACACAGAGUGAGGCAUCUUUUUUCCAAUGUGGCCAUCAUCUGUGGAUCAGCCUUUCUGAAGACCAGAGGGCCGCUAGGAAUUUGGAUGCUUUUAAAAGCAAAUUAAAGAUGCAUCUUUUUAGUCUGUCAAUAGAUUAAUGUUCACAGCUUUUUAUUAUGUUUUAUAGCCAUUAUUGUAUUUUAGUUUUAGCAACUAUUAGAUUAUUUAUUUAUUUACUAUAAUUUUUUGGCUGCUUAAGUUAUUAAUAUCAAGGCAAGUACUGUAAUAAGUUCUGAAUAUUGUUCUUAAUUUGACUUUUAUUGUUUGUUAUUCAUGUUAUUGGAUGUUUACUAUGAAUGGAUUUAACUAAGUGUUUUUAUACAUUUUCUCUUUAUAUAUUAUUCAUAUAUCUCCAGUGUUUCAUCGCUAAUCUACAUGAUUGUGUUUCCAUAGUUCCAUAAUAGAUUGAUUUCUUUUCCUUUUAGUUCUUCAGUUUUUUUUAUUAUCCAUAUAAUUAUCAUUUUAUCGGUGUGUUUACUUAAUUUGAUAAUUUUGAUCAUUUUAUUGUGUGAGUCUCUAGUGGUUAAAUGUCUGUCCUUCUGUAUGAAAAGUGCAUUAUAAAUAAGGUUGAUUGAUCUGCAUAUUAUUCUUAUGACUGGCCUACAAGUGUAUGAAAUAAAAAUGUUCCAUGUAUAACAGCA